UACAGAGGGGGCAAGCGUUGUUCGGAAUUAUUGGGCGUAAAGAGCUCGUAGGCGGUCUGUUGCGUCGGCUGUGAAAACCCGGGGCUCAACUCCGGGCCUGCAGCCGAUACGGGCAGACUAGAGUUCGGCAGGGGAGACUGGAAUUCCGGGUGGAGUGGUGAAAUGCGUAGAGAUCCGGAGGAACACCAGAGGCGAAGGCGGCGCGCUGGGCUGCACCUGACGCUGAACCACGAAAGCCAGGGUAGCGAACGGG
rnacentral:rRNA from 1 species